GUUGGCUCGAACGAAAGUUUUCUAUGAUUAACAUCAAAUAUCAAAAUUAAAUAGAAGUAUCCAUUGAAACGGUUAAGGUGUGAGAAGUUGCAGCUGCUCAAAGUGUGUUUACAUUUCAUUUGGUGUUACUUUUGAGCUGUUGAAUACAACAAAAGAGAAUUAAAAAAUAUGAAUAACUCUGCUGCGUUGGCUGAUGUUCAAGCACUGAAAACUCAGAUGACUAAAAUUGAACACAUUUUGGGUCAUAUUUCGGAGAAGAUGAACUCAGUUCAACCAACAACAACGGCAACAGCCGAUGUUAGAGCUCUGAAAGUACAAAUCGACAGGAUGGAAUGCAUGGUUGACGGAAUGAAGAAAGCGCCAACAAAACGGGGUUCAGCACGUUCAUGAUGCCACAAGUAGAAUAUUGCAAAUAAACGAGUAAAUACAAGUAUCCGUCAAACGCUACAAGUUGGCUACAAGUUGAUAAUAAGUUAACUCAAACUGCCAUUUGGAAUUUCAACGCUAUAUAUAGAAAAAUUUAUUGAAAAAUGAUAAGUCGAUUCCACAGGCAAAAUGUAAACUUUGAAAUGAUUAAAAUCAAAUAAUAAAUAU